AUAACAAGUUUACAGGGACAAAUUCCUCUUAGGAAAAGACGCAAGUUUACCUGCAAAACUGGCC
rnacentral:sRNA from 12 species